rnacentral:tRNA from 2 species
GCGGAAGUGGCGGAAUUGGCAGACGCGCAUGAUUCAGGUUCAUGUAAGGUAACUCUUGUGGAGGUUCGAGUCCUCUCUUCCGCA